UUAAACUGAAGAGUUUGAUCCUGGCUCAGAUUGAACGCUGGCG
rnacentral:rRNA from 1 species